GACGACCUCUGGCGGCGUGCCUAAUACAUGCAAGUCGAACGAAGCUUUCUUUCACCGAAUGCUUGCAUUCACCGAAAGAAGCUUAGUGGCGAACGGGUGAGUAACACGUAGGUAACCUGCCCAAAAGAGGGGGAUAACACUUGGAAACAGGUGCUAAUACCGUAUAACCAUGAACACCGCAUGAUGUUCAUGUAAAAGACGGCUUUUGCUGUCACUUUUGGAUGGGCCUGCGGCGUAUUAACUUGUUGGUGGGGUAACGGCCUACCAAGGUGAUGAUACGUAACCGAACUGAGAGGUUGAUCGGCCACAUUGGGACUGAGACACGGCCCAAACUCCUACGGGAGGCAGCAGUAGGGAAUCUUCCACAAUGGACGAAAGUCUGAUGGAGCAACGCCGCGUGAAUGAAGAAGGCCUUCGGGUCGUAAAAUUCUGUUGUCAGAGAAGAACGUGCGUGAGAGUAACUGUUCACGUAUUGACGGUAUCUGACCAGAAAGCCACGGCUAACUACGUGCCAGCAGCCGCGGUAAUACGUAGGUGGCGAGCGUUGUCCGGAUUUAUUGGGCGUAAAGGGAACGCAGGCGGUCUUUUAAGUCUGAUGUGAAAGCCUUCGGCUUAACCGAAGUAGUGCAUUGGAAACUGGAAGACUUGAGUGCAGAAGAGGAGAGUGGAACUCCAUGUGUAGCGGUGAAAUGCGUAGAUAUAUGGAAGAACACCAGUGGCGAAAGCGGCUCUCUGGUCUGUAACUGACGCUGAGGUUCGAAAGCGUGGGGAGCAAACAAGAUUAGAUACCCUGGUAGUCCACGCCGUAAACGCCCCAUAAGGGGUGUCGGGGAGCAUUGCUCUUUCGGUGCCGCAGCAAAACGCAAUAAGUAUUCCACCUGGGGAGAACGUUCGCAAGAAUGAAACUCAAAGGAAUUGACGGGGACCCGCACAAGCGGUGGAGCCAUGUGGUUUAAUUCGAAGCAACGCGAAGAACCUUGCCAAGUCUUGACAUCCCGAUGACAGAGUAUGUAAUGUACUUUCCCUUCGGGGCAUCGGUGACAGGUGGUGCAUGGUUGUCGUCAGCUCGUGUCGUGAGAUGUUGGGUUAAGUCCCGCAACGAGCGCAACCCCUGUUCUUAGUAGCCAGCGGUUCGGCCGGGCACUCUAGGGAGACUGCCAGGGAUAACCUGGAGGAAGGCGGGGAUGACGUCAAAUCAUCAUGCCCCUUAUGACUUGGGCUACACACGUGCUACAAUGGCGUAAACAAAGGGAAGCGGAGCCGUGAGGCCGAGCAAAUCUCAAAAAUAACGUCUCAGUUCGGACUGUAGUCUGCAACCCGACUACACGAAGCUGGAAUCGCUAGUAAUCGCAGAUCAGAAUGCUGCGGUGAAUACGUUCCCGGGUCUUGCACAAACCGCCCGUC
rnacentral:rRNA from 1 species